CUGAAACAUAAAUUUUCUUGAAAAAAGAAUAUGAGGCAAAGUACUCAGUAAUUUGGAAAGUGGGGAUGAAAUAUGGACCUCCCCAACUUCAGCACCACACCCAAGGAAGAUACAAAGAAUCAUAAAACCCAACCUCAAGCAUAAAAUAAACAAAUGUGUGAGUAAGAAGUUACCCUGUUUAUCUUAUUAAAGCCCUGAUUUUAUACAAUGUCACGGUAGCACAUACAGGAAAGAUGGAAAACUGUAAUGUACCAGCUCCGUAUAAGACCAUCACCAGUCCCUACAAGGCAGAGAGAGGUUUGCUUUCUGAUUUGCUUUCCUGUGCCAGUUGAGAACGCCCUGUUCCCACCUAACAGACAGAGGCAGCUUUGCACACCAAGUCAGGCGACGCUCAAUAACAGGCAGGCAGCCACACUAGAAUAGAAGUCUGCAGGUACAUGAUAAAAAGAUAUUGUUGUGUAAGAUGUUUUGUAAGAAAAAGCAAUUCUUUGUAAGAAAAAGCAGUGCCCAGAGAUGAGAAAGAAUGAGAUCAUCACUCAAUCUGUUCUACAGAAAAAUUUCUCCUUGAAUUUCAAGAGUUUAAAAGAGGAUUGCAAAUCUAUGAUUUUGCACCUGUGAGACCCAAAGUUAUUAAGAGGAAAUCACCCUAAUUUAACAGGAGAAAAAACAUAAUCUCACAUGCUUUCAGUUCUUAUUCAAAAUCAAAAUGUGACUACUAUUCUCAGCCAACAGCCAUAAAUAACCAGCCUCCACAUGAACAAAGGACAUUAAAGAAUUAAACAUGAUAACUGACAUCUUUGUCAUAAUGUUUAUUUUGCUGACAAGAACAAAUUGGAGCAAAUCUAAAAGAUGAGCCUAUAAAGAGUACAUAAUCACCACUUAUCCAACAUCUUUACUCUUUGAACAUUGCAAAAUACAGAACCUUCUGUCUGUACUGCUACAUAACAGCACUCACAAACCAUCAAGAACUACAGUCUGGAAUGCUGAAAAACAAAAUUAAAAAGUAUUAGGAGAAAAGAUGCACAUCCCUGGCCAUCCCUCCCCUUUAAAACAUGCAGCUGACUCAAAAUACAAGUAUCUUGUUAAAGAAACAGAUCAAGGUUUAACAUUUUAUUGUGUUUGCACUUGAAAAACUACUUAUUUGGGAAAAGUUGUUAAAAAGUUCAUUCCUCUCCAGAUUUCUAAGGAUGUUACAAGGUAAGCUACAAGGAAUUAAUCUCAAAUAUGUCUUUACAGCACCACAUAAUUGAAAAAUAAGUGACCUGCAGAAUUCUUUGGACAAAACAAUGUAGAACAACAGUCUACAUCAAAAGGAAAAAAACCCACCUUCAAUGAAAUUACUAGUUACUGAUUAUAAACAAAAAUGAGCAUUGAAAAUUAAGGAUUUAACAAUUAAAGUGAAAUAAAAAUCCAUCUUUACACCCACACAGCUGAUACAAUCUCUAGAACAUAAAGAAUAUAAAAACCUAACAGGAAGGAUGGCAUAAGAAAAAGUCUGGCUGUUAGGUUCAGCUGUACUCAGCUAUAGACUUCCUGUGUCAUCAUGGGCACAUCACUCUAUUUGUUUUACAGAAUAUUUUUCAGAACAAAACUCCAAAUUCUUCCUGAUAACAUCUGCCCAACAAAAUUACAUUCAAGUAGUACAACUGUUAUUCCCAGAGCAAUUCAUUUAGCAUCUGAGAAUUUCUGCUAAUACAACUAGCAUUUUUUAAACUCUGCUUUAGAGUUUACAAGUCACAUGCAUCCAGAGCAGUUUAAAAGGACAAGCCUACCCUAGUAAAUGAUUUGCACACAUUCACAACUUAGCUGAAGUUUAUAACUACUUAUCAAACUGCUGUGUGCAGAAAUAAUGAGUUAAGAAUGCAGUGAAUAUAAACCAACAGCAUCUGACAGUUCACAAUGAAAUCUGGACAAAUGACUCCCCAACACAUACAAUCCAUAACCAUGGGUGAGGGCUUGAGCCUCUGUUUAAAAAUCACACAGAGCAGGCAGAAGUGCUGCCUUACAUGCCUUACAGAGCCAUCCACUGUCAAAACUGCUGACUCCAUUUUUGUUAGCCUGAAACUAAAUAUGUGUAUUAUGCAAACACAAAACUCCAAUCUGAACAAGAGAGGAUGAAGAUAAUUUUUAUUGUGACUAGCAUACUCCUGAAAUAUCUGCUUUCUAUCAUUAUAGAGAGGAAAAAAAACAUAUAAAGAAAAAUAAUCAAAGAUAUUAACAUACUAAAAGGAACACAAAGCAAUACAGAGCAGCAUAGAAAGAUGUGAGUGGAUAAAUUAUCCAAUGUAAGUUUAGACUACUUCUUUGAAUGCCUGACAUUUUGAAGGAACAAAAGCACUGUUUAUUUCCCAGCUUGUUUCACAGCUUUUGUUUGAAGAGCCUGUGUACUGAUUGAAUUUGAAGAUCUUCCAAAUACUGUGAGUGGGUGGACAAAAAGCAAAACUGGCAACUGAAUUGUCACUCAUUCUGCGACAGCUGCCACAGCAAAUACAACAUUGCAGAUGGACAUUUACCUCUAAAUAGGACUGUACCUAAAGGGGAAGUUAGAAACACCAUGACACAAGCAAAUGGUCACAGUAACACCAUAACACAGUAAGAAUCAAACUUUCUUCACAUUACAAAUACAGAAGUGACUAAAGAAAACAAGUAGAGGCACCAUCUUUUAGCACUGUGUGCAGUAAGGAAAGCUUUUGGAAAAAGAGAACAGAUUUUCUUUAAAGUGAAAUAAAGGGGAUUUAUAUCAUAUACACAAUUCUUUUUAAUACAUGCAUAGUGCCAGUGCGCAGGAUGCUUUUGACUAUUUCUUAAAAAGACAACACAAUUAUUAUUUUUCAGUUUUUCCAAACAAAACCAAUCAGAGUUGGUUUUACCCUUUAUAUCAGAGUAAAAAUUCCAAGUUUUAACAUCAUCGUGCUAUGCCAGUCACCUGAUCCACCCUAUGAGUACUCCAGGAGCAUUAAGCAGCACAACAGCAGCACCUUUAGGGGAGUAUCAAGUAUGUUUUUGUCCAGUUUUAUUUCUGUCUCCCUUUGCCUUUCUUUCUCCACUGUUCCAGAGACACGUGACAACUCCUUUUAAAAAGUUAAGUAAAUUCCUCAGUGCUAAAAUGCUCCAGUUUGCUUGCUCUGGGCUUGGUUCCCAGAACUUCUUGUUUCUGAGACUGCCCACAAAGCAGAGUUUUCAGUUGCCUAUACUCUUGCAAAAACAAGUCACCUGCUUCCAAGUCAUUAAAGCCCAGGCCAGACGUAGUCUAGUCAAAAAGCAAAAGGAAGAACAGGUAGUCCUGUAUGAGGCCCAGGCAGCAAGGAGGAAGAAGGCAGGCAAUCUAAAUAGAGAACAAGAUUUGGAAUUCUUCUGAAACUGUGAUGUCAAAGUGACUGGAGCAAGGACCCUCAAAGGAAACUCAAGGAAAGAAAUUUCAAGAAUGAUUCUGAAUGAGGAACAGGCAGGAAGAAAAGAUGGGAAGUACUGGGACUAGGAAUCAGUAAGAACAGAGAAACAUGGCAAGAAUAGCAACUUAAUGGCCAGUAAAGCAGAGAAGAGCAAAACAGAAUGGGGAGAGAGAACUGAAGAAACUGGGAACGAUGAAUGAGACAACCAAGAAAACUGAAACGGGAAUGUCUGGUAAAAAUAAAAAAAAAGAGACAACUGUAACUGGCAAGGUGAGGUAAAUGGAAAUGUAAAAGCAAAUGAAAUGGAUUAAGUACCAAAGUUUCCACCAGCUCCACUCAGGAGCUCUACGAUUGAUGAAUGUUAAUUAAUGGCAAGCCAGAAGCAAUACUGACUGUCAUGAAUGGAGGAAGAUGCAUGCCAUAAAAAACGAAGUAUUUUCAUGAACUGAACCAAUAAACUUAGAUUUUUUAAUGUUCCAUGUCUCAUCACUGAGUUUUCUGAUAAGAAGUCUCUCCCAUAGCAUUUUCUUCAUGUGGAUUUUCUGACACACUAUAAGAGCUGAGUGCAGCCUCCAAUCUUUCCUCCAAGGAAGAAGCAGAUGAAAAAGAAAGAUAAUAGUAGUAGGAUCUUGAUCCAGCCAUCUCUUUUUUUAUAUUCCCAAGAAGCCUAAUAUCUUUCAGCUUUUUAUCAGAUUUCACUGACCUAUAGUGCAGAGCAAAAGUUCCAGUAAGUAUACACAUUCAUAUCUACAUACAAUAGGACUGUAUAAACUUUACUUUUUCAGAUAUAGUUGCCAAAAAAAUAUCUAAAAGCUUUUAGGUACCACAUCUUGAACUUUUUUUUUUUUUUUAAUAAGUUGUUGCGCAGAUUUGUUGUUGAUGAAAAUUGUUUAAAAGAUAAUAUAUGUAUAAGGUAUAUAUACAUAAGUCCUAUCUCUUCUUGGCAGAAUUUCACACAAGGAAUGGAGAUUGCUCCCGGGAGGGCAGGAGCAUCACCCGAUGGGGUUUUUGAGAAGCCUAUUACGCAGUUUGCAGGACCCCACGUGAGAGCCAUCUCAGAGAGCUACUGACUAUCCAGGUUCCCAGGUGUAAUGCACUGAAAGCAAGUCGUCAGGGUUGAAAUCAUCUUCAGAUCUUCAAAUGGGCACAUCUUGUCCUCUUUUGUAAAAAGAAAUGAAGCCCACAAUGUAUCGCUUAUGGACUGAGCUUAUGCACUUAUGGAGCAUUAGCUUGAAGCAGGGAUAUUUGUGGGAGAGUUUUGGAGGACACUAAGAUGUCCUAUGAGACUAAGACCUUCUGGUGCUAAUUGCUGCCUAAUCACAAAGUGGGCUUCAUCUGUACAGGUAAGUAUAAAGAUAAGAAACAAUUGCUACUUUUAAUGCUAACUUGGUUUUCUGAUGUUUCAUGCUUGGGAAUGUCUCAACCCAUCUUUCUUUGUCAUCAUUUCAAAACCUUCAUCUGGGUUCUGACAGGCCAAAGGGCAUAGCUAGGAUUUGGAUUUGCUCUGUCAUUAACAAUUUUUGUGAUGAUAAGGAAGUUUUGCUUUAUAAACAUACUUUGCUAGUCAAAACUACUGAUGUUGAUAUAGGUUUACACAGAAGACUAUCUGUAGGACACAUCUUGAAGAAUCACAUUAAUUUUAAGGUAUAAAAAACUUAUUUUGUAAAUAAGUGGCAAAAGCACACACACACCUUGAUAUGUGAUUUCUGUAAGGAAAACACAGGCUCAAAGUAUUUCUCAUAAAUGUUUGGCCUGAUCUUUAACCAUCUGGUAUUUUAUAAAACCUUCUAAUACCAUAAAAAGUGAGCACAAUAUGUAAUCAAUUUAAUCUGAUACUGAUUACUACUGUUUGAUCUUCAGAAACUUUUAUUCAUGACUUUGGUUCCUUAUCUGUCUGCGGCUUUUCUUCAUUCUUAAGGGAAGAAACAAAAUACUGAAGUGCUUGCUGCAGAGAAUGAUCUCCCUGUUGUCUUUAUUUUGUUAGUGAGAGUUUCUUAAAUCCAUUUUGGUGUAACCAUUUAUUUAAUUUUCAUAAAUGACCGGAGCAUUAUGCAGAUGAAAGUGAUCUUGUUGCUUGCAGUAUCAUGUCAGGAUCACGUCUUUUAUCUUUUACUGCAGCACACUGGGGGAAAUUAAGAAUUUCUAUUUUAGAACCACACUGCUAGAUAAGCAUCCUACGUCUGUGUAGGAGGUUUCUUUCUUUAAUGCCUUGUGUGCCAUUUCCAUUUAAUAAUAUCUCACAGUUACACAUUUUAAAAAAGGUUCUACUAGUACUUUUUCUGAAAUCUGCAACCAGUGAAGUAUUAAUAUAAGUAUGGUUUUUCUGUUAUACUCUAAGAUUCAGAUAUGUCUGUUUCAAAAUAAAAAGAACUGGAAUUUUCCCAAUGUAAUAUAAAGCAUCACCACUGAAAAAUUAAAAAUAAAAUGUUGUUGUUAUGGCCUGUAGUUGUUGUAUAUACUUUGUAGUGCAGAAUUGUAAUUCAAAACAGGAAAGAUGAAAGUGUUUUUAAAUGAAGAAUACUGGUAACCUUGAAAGUAUUUCUUCUUACUGCUGGCUUUUCCAAUUUGUCAAAAAUGUACUGCCAGAUCUGAAAAAAAAAGUUAUUAAAUGCAAGUUAUCCCUUAUUUUUAUUUGUUUCACAACCUAUGUGCAUGGAAAUUUACAAUGUUUAAUGAAAAGAAAGCUAAAUUUGUCGUUUAGAAAGAACUGAGUUUGUUAUAAACUAAGCUGCACUAUGUGAGACUCCAAUAUACUAGACAAUCCUGAAAAAUGUGGCAAAGGAGGAUAUGUGAUCACAAAAGCUCAAAUGAGUUAUUCAGAACACAAAAUGAUCCUUGUACAAUCAAACUUGAACUGUGCUAUGUUUCUUUAGUUAAAAUUGCUGGCAGCAAAUGGUCAAGACAAGUGUUUCUGUCUGAAUCAGGGACGGAAAACAUAUGAACACCAUUUGUUGAAAAUGCUACUGAUUGCUGCAUCAGAGCAAGAGGCAGCAGUGGGUGGCAGACUGUGCUGCAUAGUGAAAUCAUAACAUUAACAGAAUACUUCAUAGCAUUACUAUUCUUUUUCAUAACUGAAAUUCAAAUUAAUUGGAAAACUGCUCUGUAUUUUUAACUAAUGCACCCUAAUGCUAGAAGAGCUAGUGCUAAUAGCUUAUAGAAGCACAAAAAGAAAUGGGUCUUCUAGAAUCAGAAAAAAAUUGUUCAUGUGAGGGAUGUGUAUAGGGCUGUGGGAAGUCAUGCACAGUAUAUGUAGUGUAGCUUCCUUGUAAGACUCCUUGGUAUGCUAAUCCUUGAUCAAAUAGAAUUGAAAAAUCCAUGUUGUAGGAUUCAACCUAACUGUGGAAAAACACAUUUGGGGUGUAGAUAGAGAUGAAACCUGAUGAAAGGAGAAUAAAGGUAGGUGGAAACAAGGAGGAAAAUGAAUGAGGAGGAAGCUGCUUCUGAAGGAACUUUUCUUGCACUAGCAUCAUGUUUCUGCAGUGCUAUUUCUGAAAAGCAAGUACUGGUUUGUCAAAGACGACUAAGUAGAUUUGCAAACUCUCAAGAUAAACAAAGGCAUAUUUUUGGCGCUUUGUGUAGGGCUUGUUUCAGAGCUGCUGGAUAUUAGUAGAAAACUUCUCAUCCAUUCAGUAUGUGGACAUUCUGGAAAUACAGCACUUGGUUGUUAUCAGUCAAUUAUUAAUGACUAUGAUAUCAGUAAAUCAGCUGUUGUGUUCAGCUGCCCUAUGAAUGAGCAUUUACAGAGACUUUCAGCUGCUCCCUCUCAGGAAAAGAAGAGGGAUCAGUAAGCACAGCUGUCCUGGACAGAAUUAAUGGUGCCACUUACUGUAUUCUAGGAGACUAUACUUGCCCUUAUCAUGGGUAAUAAAGUAUUUUAUUGAACAUAUGAAACUUAGACAACAACUGUUCUCACUCUGCUAAAUAGCUGCGGAAUAACUGUGAAGGUUGUCUUUUAGAGAGUGAUCAACAGCUGGUAACUGGAAGGGCUGGGGAGGAUCGGCAAAACUGGCUUGAAAUUGUAACUGUGCUGUAUCUUACCCAGAAUAGCUGGUAGGCAGUAAAGAGGCUUUCUGCCAUUUCUGAAUGACAAUAUCUCAAGGCAUUUUGGGGAUAUAAUUAAUACACUUACUGAGGAAAUGAGAGCUUGUUCGGAUGCCUUUCUUUCUGUUUUUUGUGCAGCUUUCUGUGGUGUGCCAUGCAAGGUAGUACUAACAGUACACACCUCUAGAUCACUUAAUGGGUACUGGCUUUGCAAACACAGCAAGUCACCUUAAUUUUAAAUAUAAUCAUGAAUGCAAAUUGACAGGAAUGAAUAGGCCAUAUCUUAGUUCUGGCAAAAAUGUUGAGUAUUUUAUUCAUAGCAAUACAUGACUGUUGGAGAUACAAGGAGCUUGUGAUAAGUGGACCUGUCCAAGUGAACUUGUGAAAUUAUUUCUACAAAUAGUCUUUUCUCACUGUUUCAAGCACCACAAUUUGGAAGAUGAAAUGAGCUGACAGAAUUUUGUUUGGAUGUCAGAGAAAUGAAGUCUGGAUGCUGUUCUCUAGAACAAAUUGAAAGAAUUGUAGCUGAGGGUCUGCUGGUGAUAUUUGAAUGAUGGCUGAUGAAUCUAAGACUGAAGUGCAUGUAGUAGGAGAGAGUUAUAAUUUUUAAUAACAAUACUCUUCAAAACUAUGUUCCUGUUUAACUCCAUUAUCUAAUUUUUUGUGUCCUUGUCAAUUUCUGCGUGUGCUUCCUGCACAGCAAAUCUCCACUCUGCAGUUAGAAAAUCAUCUUUCAUAAUGAAUUAUGACAGUGUUUUGUUGUUAUGAAGUUCUCUUUAUUGUCUUUUGUGUUGCUCUGAAUUUCUGAUGUCUACUGCUCCUCAACCAACAUACAUCUUUCAAGAGCUUCCACUAACCUUUCUCCAAAAGGAAGAACACCCCAAAGAUCCAACUGUUGUAGUCACCUGAACUGAACAGCAGUAACAUUUGUUUUCUUAGUGGUGCAGAUGUUAAGACUGAUGAUCCUAUAACUCGGUAACUUUUCCUACUAUUCACAGUUUCAAGAUAAGAGGUUUGCA